GCGGAGGGCCGGAUGGCCGCGGGGGUGCAAACCCACGAGGAAAGUCCGGACUCCACAAGACGACGGUGCCGGGUAACGCCCGGGCAGGGAAACCUGACGGAAAGCGCCACAGAAAUGAAACUACCCCGGCCUGUCCGGGGAAAAGGUGAAACGGUGGGGUAAGAGCCCACCGGGGGGCUGGCAACAGCCCCCGCACGGCAAGCCCCACCGGGAGCAAUGCCGAAUAGGGUCCCCGCGCGGGCUGAUCGGGCAACCGAUAUCGCCGCAGGGCAAGUCCUGGCCCAGGGGAUCGGGUAGGCAGCUGGAGGGGCACCGGCAACGGUGCCCUUAGAUGAAUGGCCAUCCAGAGGGGGCGACCCCUUGGACAGAAUCCGGCUUACAGGCCCUCCGCGCAU
rnacentral:RNase_P_RNA from 1 species